GCCCUUAGAGUUUGAUCCUGGCUCAAGAUAAACGCUGGCGGCGCACAUAAGACAUGCAAGUCGAACGGACUUAAUCGUUAGUUUACUAAUGAAGCGGUUAGUGGCGGACUGGUGAGUAACACGUAAGCAACCUGCCUAUUAGAGGGGAACAACAGUUAGAAAUGACUGCUAAUACCGCAUAUGCCAUAAGUAUCGCAUGAUACAAGUGGGAAAGGAGCAAUCCGCUAAUAGAUGGGCUUGCGUCUGAUUAGAUAGUUGGUGGGGUAACGGCCUACCAAGUCGACGAUCAGUAGCCGAGUUGAGAGACUCUACGGCCACAUUGGGACUGAGAUACGGCCCAGACUCCUACGGGAGGCAGCAGUCGGGAAUAUUGCGCAAUGGAGGAAACUCUGACGCAGUGACGCCGCGUGCAGGAAGAAGGUUUUCGGAUUGUAAACUGCUUUAGACAGGGAAGAAAAAGACAGUACCUGUAGAAUAAGCUCCGGCUAACUACGUGCCAGCAGCCGCGGUAAUACGUAGGGAGCAAGCGUUAUCCGGAUUUAUUGGGUGUAAAGGGUGCGUAGACGGGAAAAUAAGUUAGUUGUGAAAUCCCCAUGCUUAACAUGGGAACUGCAACUAAAACUGUUUUUCUUGAGUGCUGGAGAGGAAAGUGGAAUUCCUAGUGUAGCGGUGAAAUGCGUAGAUAUUAGGAGGAACACCAGUGGCGAAGGCGACUUUCUGGACAGUAACUGACGUUGAGGCACGAAAGUGUGGGGAGCAAACAGGAUUAGAUACCCUGGUAGUCCACACCGUAAA
rnacentral:rRNA from 1 species